GACGAACGCUGGCGGCGUGCUUAAUACAUGCAAGUAGAACGGAAAGGCCCUGCUUUUGUGGGGUGCUUGAGUGGCGAACGGGUGAGUAACACGUGAGUAACCUGCCCGUGAGUUGGGGAUAACUUCAGGAAACUGUGGCUAAUACCGGAUAGGAGCUCCUGCUGCAUGGUGGGUGCUGGAAAGUUUCGUCGGUUGGGGAUGGACUCGCGGCUUCUCUUCUUGUGGGUGGGGGAGUGGUACACGAAGGCUUUGACGGGUAGCCAGCCUGAGAGGGUGACCGGCCACAGUGGGACUGGGGUGCGGCCCAUACUGCUACGGGAGGCAGGAGUGGAGAAUAUUGCACGCUGCGCGGAAGCAUGAUGCAGCAUCGCCGCGUGCUGGAUCACUGCCUUCGGGUUGUAACCCGUUUUCGCCUGUAACGAAGCGUGUGUGACGGUAAUUGAUAAAGAAGCACCGGCUAACUACGUG
rnacentral:rRNA from 1 species